CCUUUAUGCCUGCAUUUAUUUCCUAAAUCCUCUGAAACCCUACCCCUCCACAGUAGGCAAAACAUUAUCCUGUGGAAGAGACUAUGAACCAGAGAAUUGACAGACCACUGGUUUCCUGGGAGAAAAUUUUAAAGAAUGAGAGAACAGUGAGGAAUUCUAAGCAUGGCACAGUUGGGAAACUCGGAAUUCUAACUAGAAGUAUUAUUCAUCACUUGCUCUUGGACUUCAAGGCAACCUGAGGAUUUUCACAAUUAUUAAAUUUUCCCUUGGUUAUAACAUAUCUAAACUUAAUUAUUCAUGUAUAUUCUAGCCAACUGCCACAUAUCUCAGCUCUUCCUGAGUUGCCUAAUCCAUCAGGAGCAUACCUGACUGAUAAUUUAUAAUUUGACUUUUAGAGAAUAAACAAAUCAAUAAUAAUGUAAAUAAUUUAAGUUGAGUAAAACCAUGAAACUGACAGCAAGAAUCCACUUCAAUAUAUCCAUAAAUGUAAAAUCAUAUCUUUACUAAGCUCUUUUCUAAGAUAGCUUAUGUAGCACAGCAAAUCCCAAACACUGACAAAAGAUCAUGAUUUGUAAAUGUCAUGCCUGUUUUAUUAAGCAUGUAUGUUAUAUUUUUGAAAUGACGUAGACUGUCUAAUAUGUAAUUUUUAAAAACCUGAC
rnacentral:lncRNA from 1 species